GAGGGGUGGCUGAGUGGUCGAAAGCACCGGUCUUGAAAACCGGCGACGGGCGACCGUCCCAGGGUUCGAAUCCCUGCCCCUC
rnacentral:tRNA from 1 species